rnacentral:rRNA from 1 species
UACGGAGGUGGCAAGCGUUGUUCGGAAUUACUGGGCGUAAAGGGCGCGUAGGCGGCUGAACAAGUCGGAUGUGAAAGCCCCGGGCUCAACUCGGGAAUUGCAUCCGAAACUGUUCAGCUUGAGUUCUGGAGGGGGUAGUGGAAUUCCCAGUGUAGCGGUGAAAUGCGUAGAUAUUGGGAGGAACACCUGCGGCGAAGGCGGCUACCUGGACAGAAACUGACGCUGAGGCGCGAAAGCUAGGGGAGCGAACGGG